rnacentral:rRNA from 1 species
UACGAAGGGGGCUAGCGUUGUUCGGAAUUACUGGGCGUAAAGCGCGCGCAGGCGGCCUUUCAAGUCGGUGGUGAAAUCCCAGAGCUCAACUCUGGAAUUGCCAUCGAAACUGUAAGGCUUGGGUACGGGAGAGGUGAGUGGAAUUCCGAGUGUAGAGGUGAAAUUCGUAGAUAUUCGGAAGAACACCAGUGGCGAAGGCGGCUCACUGGCCCGUUACCGACGCUCAGGCGCGACAGCGUGGGGGAGCAAACAGG